CAGUCAUCUUUACCUAUUUACACUAGAAUAAAGGAACUUUAAAAUUUGUUGUGUAAUCUAGUUCCCAUAUGUCAUGUAUUUGGCCAUAAUAUGUUUGUUUGUUCCCAUCGGAUCUGUGGCAUCUACUCGUACACCACUGUUUUAGUUGGUGCUCCUUUUAUCUUGGGCUACUGUGUAAAAUGUAUUCUCAUUGAUCUCAUACAAUUUGUACAUGUUGAUAUGCCACGAUGGCUGCCUGG
rnacentral:lncRNA from 1 species